rnacentral:rRNA from 1 species
CAGUAACGGCGAGUGAAGCGGCAACAGCUCAAAUUUGAAAUCUGGCCCCCAGGGCCCGAGUUGUAAUUUGCAGAGGAUGCUUUUGGCGCGGUGCCUUCCGAGUUCCCUGGAACGGGACGCCAUAGAGGGUGAGAGCCCCGUCUGGUCGGACACCAAGCCAGUGUAAAGCUCCUUCGACGAGUCGAGUAGUUUGGGAAUGCUGCUCUAAAUGGGAGGUAUAUGUCUUCUAAAGCUAAAUACCGGCCAGAGACCGAUAGCGCACAAGUAGAGUGAUCGAAAGAUGAAAAGCACUUUGAAAAGAGGGUUAAACAGUACGUGAAAUUGUUGAAAGGGAAGCGUUUAUGACCAGACUUGGGCCCGGUGAAUCAUCCAGCGUUCUCGCUGGUGCACUUUGCCGGGCCCAGGCCAGCAUCAGUUCGCCGCGNNGAUAAAAGCUUCGGGAACGUGGCUCCCUCGGGAGUGUUAUAGCCCGUUGCAUAAUACCCUGUGGCGGACUGAGGUUCGCGCUCCGCAAGGAUGCUGGCGUAAUGGUCAUCAGCGACCCGUCUUGAAACACGGACCAAGGAGUCGUCUUCGUAUGCGAGUGUUCGGGUGUCAAACCCCUACGCGUAAUGAAAGUGAACGCAGGUGAGAGCUUCGGCGCAUCAUCGACCGAUCCUGAUGUUCUCGG